ACAUGUAGGUAUCUGCCCUUUGGCCUGGAAUAACACGAGGAAACUUGUGCUAAUACCGGAUAAGUCUUUACGGAGAAAGCUUUAUGCACCAUUGGAUGAGCCUGCACUUGAUUAGUUUGUUGGUGGGGUAAUGGCCUACCAAGACUUUGAUCAAUAGCUGAUUUGAGAGGAUGAUCAGCCACAUUGGGACUGAGACACGGCCCAAACUCCUACGGGAGGCAGCAGUGGGGAAUCUUGCACAAUGGAGGAAACUCUGAUGCAGCGAUGCCGCGUGAGUGAAGAAGGCCUUUGGGUUGUAAAGCUCUUUCGUCGGGGAAGAAAAUGACUGUACCCG
rnacentral:rRNA from 1 species